UACAGAGGUCCCAAGCGUUGUUCGGAUUCACUGGGCGUAAAGGGUGCGUAGGUGGCCGGGUAAGUCUGACGUGAAAUCUCCGAGCCUAACUCGGAAACUGCGUCGGAUACUAUCCGGCUUGAGGGUUGGAGGGGGGUGGAAUUCCACGUGUAGCAGUGAAAUGCGUAGAGAUGUGGAGGAACACCGAUGGCGAAGGCAGCCCCCUGGGCUAACACUGACGCUCAUGCACGAAAGCGUGGGGAGCAAACAGG
rnacentral:rRNA from 1 species